rnacentral:rRNA from 1 species
UCCUGGCUCAGGACGAACGCUGGCGGCGUGCCUAAUACAUGCAAGUCGAGCGCGGGAAGCAAAUCGAUUCCUUCGGGAUGAAGUUUGUGGAACGAGCGGCGGACGGGUGAGUAACACGUGGGCAACCUACCUGCAAGACUGGGAUAACUCCGGGAAACCGGGGCUAAUACGGGAUAGAGUUUCCUCUCGCAUGAGAGGAAUCGGAAAGGCGGCUUCGGCUGUCACUUACAGAUGGGCCCGCGGCGCAUUAGCUAGUUGGUGGGGUAAUGGAUCACCAAGGCAACGAUGCGUAGCCGACCUGAGAGGGUGAUCGGCCACACUGGGACUGAGACACGGCCCAGACUCCUACGGGAGGCAGCAGUAGGGAAUCUUCCGCAAUGGACGAAAGUCUGACGGAGCAACGCCGCGUGAACGAAGAAGGUUUUCGGAUCGUAAAGUUCUGUUGUUAGGGAAGAACAAGUACCGUUUGAAUAAGGCGGUACCUUGACGGUACCUAUCGAGGAAGCCCCGGCUAACUACGUGCCAGCAGCCGCGGUAAUACGUAGGGGGCAAGCGUUGUCCGGAAUUAUUGGGCGUAAAGCGCGCGUAGGCGGUUUCUUAAGUCUGAUGUGAAAUCUUGCGGCUCAACCGCAAGCGGUCAUUGGAAACUGGGGAACUUGAGUGCAGAAGAGGAGAGUGGAAUUCCACGUGUAGCGGUGAAAUGCGUAGAGAUGUGGAGGAACACCAGUUGGCGAAGGCGACUCUCUGGUCUGUAACUGACGCUGAGGUGCGAAAGCGUGGGUAGCGAACAGGAUUAGAUACCCUGGAUAGUCCACGCCGUAAACGAUGAGUGCUAG